rfam:Oryza nivara chromosome 3, whole genome shotgun sequence.
AAAAAGACAAAUCCUGGUUUCCGUGUCCAACGUUUGGGCGUGCGUCUUAUUUGAAAAAAUGAUAAAAAAAUUAAAAUGAUAUUAAUCAUGUUUUAUCAUCUAACAACAAUGAAAAUACUAAUUAUAAAAAAAUUUAUAUAAGACGGACAGUCAAACGUUGGCACGGGAACUCACAGUUUGCCUUUUU